rnacentral:rRNA from 1 species
UGGGGAAUAUUGCACAAUGGAGGGAACUCUGAUGCAGCGACGCCGCGUGAACGAAGAAGGCUUUCGAGUCGUAAAGUUCUUUUAUAUGGGAAGAUAAUGACGGUACCAUAAGAAAAAGCCCCGGCUAACUACGUGCCAGCAGCCGCGGUAAUACGUAGGGGGCUAGCGUUGUCCGGAAUCACUGGGCGUAAAGGGUUCGCAGGCGGAAAUGCAAGUCAGGUGUAAAAGGCAGUAGCUUAACUACUGUAAGCAUUUGAAACUGCAUAUCUUGAGAAGAGUAGAGGUAAGUGGAAUUUUUAGUGUAGCGGUGAAAUGCGUAGAUAUUAAAAAGAAUACCGGUGGCGAAGGCGGCUUACUGGGCUCAUUCUGACGCUGAGGAACGAAAGCGUGGGUAGCAAACAGA